AAAAAAAAAAGAAAAAAAAGCUAUAUUCAUAUCUUGAAGUUACAGGGCCUUGAGGAAAACGUGUUAACAUGGUAAAAGGCCAAGCUUAACCACUCAGUGCUCCAGGAAGAGAAUGCUGUUAUUCUCCAGGAAGAGAAUUGGGAAAAACCAGGCUGUCCCACUCUCAAAACGUUCUCUUUAUUCUCUACAUGAAUGGGUUUGUAUCUGCUGAUAACCCACUUCUUUCCAAGGGUUUCAGGUUUAGGAUUCCUUUUGAUGCUAGACUCACUGCUUGAAAUAGUAAACCACUCCAACUUUGAUGGAGCUACAAUUAUUCCCUAUAGUCAGCUAUUCCGUUGUUUCCUCUAAAACUUUUAUUUAUGUCACUGUUUCACUUUGAGUAGUUUUCCCCCUUCAUCCUUUCUGAUUUAAAUCAUACCAGUAAAAAAUUUACAAAUCAGAUAGCCCAAGAGGCAUGCAAUAUUUUCAUAUAAAAUAUAGAUAAAUUUGUGCUUUUCUGUAACAUGUGUGACUAAAACGAUAUCAGUGAUCACAACCACCAUCUUUUUUUCUUUCGUCAACCCUCUUGGAAGCAGCUCUGCUUCCUAUCUGUGCUGUCACUGUCGGGGUAGCCGUGGUGGCAGCCUCUGAGUCCUGGGAUCACAGAAACCACCUGGCCCAAGGCUAGAGGUGUCUCGGUCUGAACAUGUGUUGGUGCCAACAUUUCUGAAAGUUUCAGCCUGUCUGGAGCACUGGAGUGUUACAUCAGGCAGCUCCGCCUAGCAAUGGUAACCUAAGCUACCAGCAGCAGGGAGGCGUUUGUGCUGUGCUUUGCUUCGAGCAGCGUUCAGAGCCUGUGACACUGUCUGACACUGACUGAUUAAGGUACAGGUACUGUGGUGCUGUCAGGAAAGAAGAAAGAGGACUUGCAGUGCUAUUGUUGCUCAUGGAUCUCCAGCAGAGCAGCAGCCAGACACCAGUGCACAGCAGCAUCGUGCUCUACCACCUUUUCUGAGAAUUACUGCCUAGUCAACCCUAAAGCGAUUAGGAACACACCAUGUUUUUAACACAGCCUGUUCCUCCACACAGACUGCAAAGACUGUAUGUCAUAGGUGAUCAAACCCUUAAGACUGGGGAGGGAAUUGUGACAGGAGGAGAAGAGAGAGAUGUGACAAGGACAAAAAUAUGAACUCUGAGUCUUAUCAGGAAACCAUUAGGAAGGCUGCUGGUGCAGUAAACAAGACCAGGUCUUAACAGGGAGAAAAACAGAACUACCUAGUUAUGCUGCAGGUAUAAACUAAUCUUCCUUUUCCCCAUUGCUUUUACUUGCCAUCAUUAAAAACCACAAAUUCAAAUUUCUUCCUGAACUCAAUUUUGUGGAUAUCCCCAAAGCUCAUGCUACACUACUACUGGGAAUGGUGAGAAGGAUUACUUUGCCAGACAGCAUAGGACAUGGGACAAAAAUUUUAGUUUUAUUUUGUUUAAUUCGUAGGGCUUUCCCGAGUACAAAGACAUAGGGGUUCCCUAUGUACCUUUUCAUCUCAUCUUUGUAAGUGAUGAAAUAAUCAUUUCCCUUCUCUCUGAGGGUGAUGCUGAAGCCCUCAGAAAGAGUAACAUAUGUGGUAUCCAGGCUUGGGGACACUCUUUAGCUCAGGCUUACACUUGGCCUUCUGGAGUCACCUCUCCUCCUUACAGCCUACACAGGCACGAAGGCAAGCAGGAAAAUAGAAAAUCUCAUCUAUCUUGAGAAAUCUGAGAUCUCUGCAGACCUGAGAUGCUCUUAGUUCUUUGUGUGCCAAACCUGAUAUGUUUCUGUUGCCUGUGUGGUGCCAGGAUUGUCCUUGUCCUCUACAAAGCAGAGGCCAGGGAAAACUGGAAAGAUUCUUAUCUUCCUUUCACUAGGGAGGAGGUAAUUUGGCUUCCAGGAGCCUUCUUUUAUCACAGCUGGGCAGUUUUAAUCUCAGUUUUCUUAAUAUUUAGUGGGCAAUUGAUAUGUUCCCUUUUGCUCUAUCUAACAGAGCUGAUUAUUGCUAGGGUCAGGUGGUUACAUGAGCUAAUUAAUAUUCACAGGUAGCAGUAGGAAAUAAGUACAAACCUCAUCUCCUCAGCUUUAAUUACAAUAUCAGUGCUAUCAAAUUCCAUGUGGAUACACCUCCCACAUCAGCUCCAGACAAUUUCAGAUGUGUGUACUAACAGGAUCCAACAACAUCUUUAACUCAUGAUCUUCUGUCAUUACAAUAUAAUUACUCUAAUGCAUCUUUACUGUGCAACGCCAGCCAAAACUAACAACCAUUGGGCAUACAGUGUGAUGGCAGAAUAGAGAUGUUAAUGUAAGCUUUCAGCUUACAGGGACUUGCAGCAUUUCUGCCAGUCCCAUUAUUCAACAUUUGUGGGCAACCUGACUCCUACCUGCUUCCCUUCCUUCUCUAUAUUUACUUUAUGAAACAGUUAUGUUAUUCUAGCACCAAGAAGCCCCAGGUGGCACUGAAAUCCCUGGGGGAAUCUGACGUAAGAGUCAAUAAAAUGGCAGUAAAUUGUCUCACCUUGGAUAGCUCUGUGGAUUAGACGAGGAAGAGAGGAAGGUCAGUCAUGGAAGAACAACUGUAUUUUACACCUUACUGAGCUACGGGUGAGGAUCUGGCCUUGUGAAGAUGUGGAAAAGAGGUUAGGAGCAAUUUGACAGAAAAUACACUACUGGCUAAUUAAGUUAGCAAAUAUCCCUCGAUUAAGUGCUGGUAGAGGUCAGGUACAAAAGUCAGUUAGAGAGAGCAGGGUAAGCUUCAAAGGGUCUUUGUGGCAAAGAGGUAAAGAAUGAGCCAGUGGAAUAACCUGUCAAAUGACAAGCCAUGAAGAUAAUAUUAACCUUUCAUUUCUACCAUUGUAGAAAGAGAAGAAAAAAGUCCACAAUUUGAAAAGAGAAAAUGGGAUGAAUUUUUGAAACUACAUAAGGAUGUUUAAAUGAGAACUAACUGCAGACAUGUCUCACUGCACUAUCAGUGCAUUCCUCUGCCUUUGCAGAGAUUUACAAAACUCUCUCAGUAUUUCAAUUUCAUCAGUCUUUUUACUAUUCUUAAACGGUCAUCAUUUUAAACUGCGUAAGAGCGCCUGUAUUUCAUUCAUGUGGCUUUCUAUGUGAUAACAGUCUCUAUAAUUAAAACAUACAUUAUCAAGACUUGAAAAAGAGAGUUAAACUGGAAUGGCAUUACAUUGACACCUAUCCAAAUUGUAAUUGGUGUUUAAUUGUAGCUCUGCAAGCAAACACAAAAAGACAAACAACAAAGAAACCCCUGGUUUGAUUGAAAGCAAUUAAGAGAGAAAAACCCAAGAGAGAUAAUAUAUGAAAUUUCAAGGAAGAAACAUUCCUUCCCUGAAAUGCAAAGGCCCUUCUUGAGUCUGGGAGAAGUAAAGCAUGAGAAUAGUGCAGCUGUUUCUGGGAACUUGUCUUUUGCAUGGAAAUGCAAAUUAAGGGCUGCCAAGCUGAUUUUUAUCUCUGUGUAACACCCAUCAUAUUUAUACUGUAUAUGUUUGCUGAUGUUCUCUAUUAACUCUAUUGUUUGCAUAUUAACUGUUUUGUGUCCCAGAUGCUCAUACAAGGAUCAUAAAUAUUUUGUGAAAGAUAUAACCAUCACUUUCAACACUACAAACUGUUGUUCCCCCAAACAGCUUUCCCUCUGUUCUUGGAGAAAGCUCAAAGAAUCCCUGAAGAACUACUUUAGAAUGAGUGUUUUUCAGCAUCAGCUCACAGGGACAGGGAGGAAGCAGUUCCUGGGACAAAGAACUUCCACAACAGUCACUUUGCAUCUAAACCCAGUGCCUAAAAUCAAGAGGAUGCAGAAACAUCAGUUCUGUGCAGUACUAUCCAGACUUGCAAUGCUGACACAACACAUGGGGAGAAAAAGAAAGAAAGAUAGAACAGUGAAAAUUGUGUGAAGGCUCUAAGGAUAAGGGAUGCUUUUAAGGUGAAGAUUGAUUCCAGUGGUUUUCCAAACAGACCAGAAAUCAGGGUAGUCGAGAUUGACAACAUUUCAUUGGUAUGAGCAAGAGAAGAGUCAGAUUAUUCUUUGCCAAUCUACAUGACUAUGGAGCACCAUUCCCAUAUUCCUACUCUCUUACCACUUCACUAUUGAUAUUGUGACAGGAUUUGUAAUACCAUGAGGCUGUGUUGCCAAGAGCAAUUCUUUUAAAGAGUAUGACACUGAAUGCAGACUCUGGCAAAUGACACUUUCAGUUAGAAAGUGGGAGGGUGACAAAACUCUUCCAGAACCUCUUACAGAGAAUAUGUCUUGACCACAAAGUGACAAAAGAGAAAAUAGUGCUUAAACCUCUGCAACAGAGCACUGAGACAGAAAAAUCUCUACUGAAAAUGCCUUUUUGUGCAAGAAUUGAUCUCACUGUCAUUUUAGUAAUGUAAAUCACAAGGAGCCGUUGAAAUCAGGGGGAACUCAGCAGUAUAAAUUAGGUGUCAUAUGAAUAACAAAGUUGUAAGAUAUUGUUAUUGGGUCACUUAGCUCUGCUCCAUGGUUUUAUUUUAGCUCUAACAUUUAUCAGCUUUGCUUGUCCAAGCUAACGUUUUCUGCAGUUUGGCAACAAUGGUUAUUCUGGAUUGAGUAUUCACAGAGCAAGUAACAGAGAAUUUGUCAUAAUGGGUCCGCCUCCUCUUCUACAGCUCCUCUCAUGCUUUAUGUCUCUAUUUUAUAUACCCAUAAAACAUCUAACUGACUAUGGAAUGACAGUAAGAAAAAGGAAGAAGUGUUCCCUUUUCAUCAUAUUUCUCUGACACAAGAGAUUUGAUCAUCUGUAUUAUCACAGCCAUAAAUAGCAUUAGCAAACGUAUUACCCAGCCCUAUUACGUACAGACACAUUAUCUGCCAUGGAAAAAUCCAUGGGCUAAUUAUUAUUCUCAGCAUAAAAUAUUUUCUGUUAUUUGUUCUAAACGCAUUGGUCCUUAAUGUCAUGAUGCAUUAAUUGCACUAAGCUGUGAAAUGCAGAAAAUACCCCCAUCACUGUGUUCUGUUCCCACUACUUCCCACUCUUCCCAAACAAAACCACUCUUGGAUGAGAACCUACAUGGUAUGAAGUGGUAAAUGAUUCAAAGGGGUGUCACUUUAUACUUUCUGAAUCUUUAUAGUCUUUGAGGUGGUUUGUAUGUAAAUCUUACUGUACAUCUCACUAGCUCUGUCACCUUUUUAUGAGCGCUCACAGACAGUCUAUAUAUCAGUUGUCUUGACCAAAAUUUGGAAUAACUCUUUCAGAACAUAGGAACAUGGCUCCUGAAAAUGAUCACUGUCAUAUCAUCAUGAUGUCAUGAAAGGAGAACCAAAAUAAAUGAGAACUUCCAGACUUCUAGUUAUUAUACUGAUCUCACUAGAAGCUCAGCUUAUUUUCUGUGUUAAUUUUGGGGGAGAUGUUUUAUUUGAGGUUUUUUGUCUGUCUCUUUGUUUGUUAAAGACUUCACAGUGUUAUUUUCUUGGGGUUUUGUUCCUCUGGAAAUAAUUUUGUCUGGUAAUAAUUUAUUAUCUCUGAAAAUGCAUCUCUGAUUUCUAUUGCAAUGCUGCAAAUUGAUGAAAUUAACAUUAAUACUGAUGAAAUUUAUAAUGUUUUAUGUGAUUAUUGCUUCACUAAUCACUAUGUAUUCCACUGCUAGCUGUAUGCGAGAUCAUUAAUACACUAUAUGUAUAAACAUUAAGCUUAAUGGAGUUAAAUGAUGAUAUGGAAAGGCAGGAUGGCUAAUUAAUGAUCACACAAACAAUUAGUGCUCUUUCUUGAUAAUUCACAAGCUGUUCUAUGAGGAACUGCAGCCUUGCAGAGUAAAAUGCAGUGCAUCUCCUAAUUACAAAUAAGCUAGGGAGUUGUGAAAGCACAGACUACCUUUUAACCUCCAGUUACUAUAGACUGUUUUCAAGCUUCUCAGCAAGGUUUUUCCUGGCGAAAAGGUAAAUUAAAGGAAAACCUUUUCUACUAUCUUUAUUGGCCACCUUUAAGUGAAUAUUUGACUGAUAGGACCUAGUCAAGCUUUACAUUUAAGAGACACUUAAUGAAAAAGUACAUCAGUCUUAAAUGGUCCUUAAUUGGUUCGUGUGAUAUGUCUGUGUUGGUACUUAGUGCAGGAUUGAAUUUCACACUAAAGGCUUAUUUCUACUAACCCUUAACUCAUGCUGAGUAUCCCUCUCUCCCUUGUGCAUAGUCUCAUUGAUUUCGCCCAGAGUAAUUGUCUUUCUCUGUUCUACAAUUCAAAAUGUUUUUCUCUGUAGUUUUUAUAAAAGAAAAAAAAAUUUUUUUCUAGAUCAUUUAAGGCCUUGGAUAGAGUAAAUUAAUUCUAACUUAAUUCUACUAUAUAACAAGCUAUAAAAAGCGUCUGUAUGAACUAAAAACAUUUCAUCCACUCUUUCCAUCUUACAUUUAGACUUUAAAAUAGCACUUUGUGUCCUCUCAAAUGCAACUGCUAAUAUUUCCCAGAAAUGUGAAAUUGGCACGUAACUCCAUAAGUCCUUUACCUCUUAUCAGUGUCUGUGGGUCAAAUAUCACUGUCUGUGGAUCAAGUAUCAACUCAUUUGAUUUGCCCUGCAGUUCUCUUAUGACACAAAAUUAAUAUUUUUUUGAUUUUUGAUUUUUUUAAGGAUGGAU